AGGGGAUUGGUCAAGUGGUAUGAUAGGGGUCUCCAAAACCUUUGGCGGGGGUUCGAUUCCCUCAUCCCCUG
rfam:Dorea sp. 5-2 genomic scaffold acPFE-supercont1.13, whole genome shotgun sequence.